AGAUCAUGGAUGGAGGGUACCUGCUAUUGUGGAAAGCAGCUCCCCGUGGUGAUGCUUCUGUACUAACGACUGCAUCUACACUAAGUUUCUUUCCAGAAAAGUUGGUCUUCGCUGCCUCAGGAAGACAGUGUAAGAAACUUGGUACUGCAUAGUGCACCUAACGCAAGGUUGGUGAAUAUCUUAAGCCAUUUUGAUUUUUCAUCUAUGACCUACGACCAUCUUUUCAUUGUCCUGGCUCUUUGUGAUCCGUACGCGAUGAACACUUAUUUUUUUUUUUGUGAAUAUAAUAUUUAAUGUUAUAAUUUGAAGUAUUUGAUCUUAUGUGUAAUAAACAUUUGGAAAGAAUAGAGCCCUUCACCCAAAGGGCUGCAAAUACCCUAGGUAGUUCUAAGGGAUGCUAUCACCCUGGGUAGCUCUAACGAUUGACCAAUCUGGGUAGCCCUAACGGCUGCCAGCCCCCUUGGUAGCCCUCAUGGCUGCCAGCGCGCUUGAUAGCCCUAACUGCUGCCAACACCCUUGGUAGCCCUAACGGCUGCCAACACCCUUGGUACCACAAACGGCUACCAACACCGUAGCCCUAACAGCUGCCAACACCCUUGGUAGCCCUAACGGCUGCCAACACCCUUGGUAGCCCUGACGGCUGCCAUCACCCUUCGUAGCCCCAACGGCUACCAUCACCCUCUAACCCUGACGGCUGCCAUCAUCAUGGUAGCUUAAUAAAAAGGUCUUUAUGACUCUCAAGCCCCAACGGCUGACAUCACUCUGGCAUCUUUAUGACUGGCUAGCCCUAAUGAUUACCAUGUAAAUAUUUCCUUCUGCAUAACCAUUUCUAACAUUAAUUUGCAGCCUACCAUGAUUAAUCUGGUAAUUGAUUUCUGAUUACCAUUUCCAUUACUAGUUUGUUCAGUCCUUCAUUUCAGUAUUGUCAAUGUCUAGCCAAUAUUUUAAAUGUUAAACUUCUUUUGUUACGAAUUUGUUAUGUACAUUUGAGCUCUUAUUUUUUGUAUAAUAUAUGUAUUUAAAAAAUACAUUUUACGUGGCUUAAAAACAUUUAACGGUAAUAUAGAAAAACAUUGAUACUAUGUGCAAUAAUUACUUUUAUUUCGUAACCAAAAUAUUGAAGAUUUAAUUUUAUAACCAAAUAUUGAAGAUUUAAUGUUUGUUUCUUGGUUUAUUUUUGCUCAUGACUUCAAAUACAGCUGCAUUGUUUACCUUUGAGCUUAAAAUACUCAUUUCUUUCAGCCCCUAUAAAUAUUUUUCCUUUUCAGCUUAACAUGUCAUUAUUUUGGGUAAACUUUUUUUUCUUUCAGCUUUAAUCCAUUUUUCUUUCAGCUUUAAUCUAUUUUUCUUUCAGCUUAAUCCGU